CAACUGCCAAAAAUUUAGCAGGCGCGGGC
rnacentral:sRNA from 1 species